GACGAACGCUGGCGGCGUGCUUAACACAUGCAAGUCGAACGAAGUGGCGAACGGGUGAGUAACGCGUAAUCAACCUGCCCUUCAGAGGGGGACAACAGUUGGAAACGACUGCUAAUACCGAAUACUGAAGGAGGGGAAUGCGUCUGAAUAGCUAGUUGGUGGGGUAACGGCCCACCAAGGCGAUGAUCAGUAGCCGGUGUGAGAAGAUGAACGCGCAAAUUGGGACUGAGACACGGCCCAAGCUCCUCAGGGAGGCAGCAGGGGGGAAUUUUCCGCAAUGGACGAAAGUCUGACGGAGCAACGGCGCGGGAGGGAUGACGGCCUUCGGGUUGUAAAGCUCUGUUAAUCGGGACGCGGUACCGGAAUAGAAAGCCACGGCUAACUACGUGCCAGCAGCCGCGGUAAUAC
rnacentral:rRNA from 1 species